rnacentral:lncRNA from 1 species
GAUUCAACUUCAUAAUGGGCUGGUGUAACUUCCACUUGUGUUAACGUGACCAAGUUUUGAUUUAUGUUAUUCAGCCCAAGCUCGAUACAUGCUUCCUUGUUGCAUUCUUGAAAUUUUUUCAAUGUCAUUCCACAAGCCUUGAAUCAUCCCGUUUAAUACGUUCUUAAAUUUCUUCAACUUCACUCUCUGAAUUGGAUCAAUGUUCUUGUAUACUGCCUUAUUUGCAUCAUUCCCUCCCUCCUUAAGAUGAUUCGUCCAUGAAUCUCCAACAUCUAUAUCAAAAGGAGAAAUAUCAGCUACAUUAAAAGUAACACUCACAUUAUACUCACCAGGAAGAUCCAACUUGUAGACAUUGUCAUUGAUUUUCUCAAGGACUUGAAAUGGUCCAUCGCCUCUAGUAUACAGUUUUGAUUUCCGUUGAAUAGGAAACCUUUC